UUUCGGAUAUAUUGCUUGGUUCCGAACAGACGGCGAGCCUAAGAUAAUCUAAUAGCCUCGAUAGAUUUGGUAUCACCUUCAGUGUGCAUUGCUGUAGCCUACAUCAUUGCAAGGUGGUUUAUAUAUAGCGAUGAUGGGUGGAGACAAAUGUAUUUUGUUUACCUUGGUAACAUCAGGAAUUAUUAUGUGCAAGUUGAGAAUAACU
rnacentral:lncRNA from 1 species